AUACACCAUUGCUUCAACGAAGUCUGGAACCUUCUCCUCGUUAUCCUGGUCUCCAUCUCUUGGAGCAAAAGAAUCACAGUAUGCCUGAGCGAGUUCUUGCAGGUUGCCAACAACAGGUUUGUAGGUUAGCUUCAUGUACUCCUUAAUGGGUAUAAGCCUAAUCUCAGCAGCUACAAGAAGACCGAGCGUUCCCUGAGACCAAGGAACGGCAUAGAAUAGAUCAGAGAAUUCGUUGUCCUUGGUCGCUCUAACAAGAGUACCAUCAGCCAACACAAUUUCGUAGGCCACCACAGUAUCAGAGAACAGGCCAUAUUUGUGGGAGCUUCCUUCUAUUCCAUAGCCAUUGAUGAGACCACCGACAGUGAGAUCAUCAAGUUCGGCCACGACAGCAAGGGAAAGAUUCAUGGGUACGGUCGCCCUUGAGAUCUGUCC
rnacentral:lncRNA from 1 species